CUCUGGCUGCCUCCUCCUUCCUGGCUGGCUUGGGCCCUACUGGAGUUCAGGCUUCACAGAGGCCUACACGAGGCCUCCGUGGAAGCCCCGCCCACCCGCCAAUCAGCUGAGAAGCAGGAGAAAAGGAGCUCUUGGCAGCUUGUCUGCUGCCUCGAUUGCCGGCCAGGAGAACAAGCUGGAGAGACGGCGAACAGGGCAAACUAUAGUUCUUUACUACUGGAAGAAGGCUCCUUCCAUUGGAGAGUGUGAAUCUUUGGAUUCAGAACAAUACAAAGAAGAUUCUUAGGUCUUUUUCUAUUAAUUAGGAAAGCACAGACCUAAUUAAGUACAGUUAAUUUGUUUAAACAUCCAUAGUUCAUAACUCUAAAUACUCUUCCAAGUUGUGGUUUACAGCUUAUUCACUGCAUCAAAAUAAACAUAUUAGUCAUGCAUCACUUCUCACUGUGGGAAAGAAUCCUAAAACUUAUUUUUAAACAUUAAAAAAAGAAUCCACCCUUGAGGUAAAUAACCUUGACUAAGAUUUUUUUUCCCCUCCUGCACUUAAAAUAUAUGGCUGUGUACUUUUUCUUGAUUGAUCAUAUCUUUCUUCAGCUGAAGAACUGAAAUUCAGCUGACUUUCAAUAUUUUACAAUUAACAGACAUUUAAAAGAUGGUGAAGUGAGGAUGUGUAGUGAAGGAAACUUUCUUUAAAUAAAUAUUCAAUCUUAGUCACUGUAAUUAAAGAUUAUAAUUAACACCUUUUUUUCUAUUAACAUCUUAAAAGGGAAAAAAGCCAAUGUUUUUUGCUACAAAUACUGCAGCCAUGCACAACUUUGCCCCCCCCCCCAGCUGGAGUUAGACUAUAACUCCCUUCCUCCCCAGGUCCAGUGGUCAGGGAUGAUGGGAGUUGGAGUUGAAGGGCCAAAGUUUUGCAACCCUGGCAUAAUGCACUACAAUGUUUUCCACUAUUUUGAGUGGUGGGAUUGGUAAUAUUAAGACCCACUAAGACCUUGUAUUUCUUUGGACUGUAGAAUACUGAGGGACUCCAGCCUCUCUAGUGAUUGUUUAGCAGACACUUCCACUGCUGUUCUUCCAUUUGUAACUAAAAGCCCUCUUCCUAAGUUGGGUAAGAAGGUCGGUAUUUCAGUGACUUCCAGUAAACAGCCUCUGGAAUGGAGGAAGACGUUCAAAAGCAGUUUGUCAUUUAGCAUAGGGGUCUGCUGUAUAAAGAAAGAAAAGUACAUCAUAAUUGUGUGUGCUUAAAGUUUUCUUUCUAGAUCCUGGCCUUGUAAUGUUUUUGUUUCAUUAUUGGUGCUGUUAGAUGAAGGUCUUCUAGUGUUUUAUAUAUAUAUAUAUAAGUACCUUCUUAAGGCUUGUUUUCGUGCUUGGAGAGCCUUUGAACUGUAUUGCUGGCGAGGAAUUCUGAAGCAACGUCCUUUCCAGCCAAUAGCUCUAUAACUAAAAAAGCGAGGCACCAUACCUCUGAAACUGC